rnacentral:rRNA from 1 species
UUCGCAAUGCCCGAAAGGGUGACGAUGCGACGCCGCGUGAGCGAAGAAGGCCCUAGGGUUGUAAAGCUCUGUCGAGGGUUAUGAAAUAUAGAUGGGUUAAUACCCCAUUUAUUUGACAAAGGCCCAAAAGGAAGCCACGGCUAACUCUGUGCCAGCAGCCGCGGUAAUACAGAGGUGGCGAGCGUUGUUCGGUAUUAUUGGGCGUAAAGAGCACGUAGGUGGUUUUGUAAGUCAGGUGUGAAAGCCUUCUGUUCAAAGGAAGAACGGCAUCUGAAACUGUAGAUCUUGAGUGUAGGAGGGGAGAGUGGAACUUCUGGUGGAGCGGUGAAAUGCGUAGAUAUCAGAAGGAACGCCGGCGGCGAAAGCGACUCUCUGGACCGAAACUGACGCUGAGGUGCGAAAGCUAGGGGAGCAAACGGGAUUAGAUACCCCGGUAGUCCUAGCCGUAAACGAUGGGCACUAAGUAGAGGGGUUUU